rnacentral:misc_RNA from 1 species
GAUGAAGAACGUAGCGAAAUGCGAUAAGUAAUGUGAAUUGCAGAAUUCAGUGAAUCAUCGAAUCUUUGAACGCACAUUGCGCCCAUUAGUAUUCUAGUGGGCAUGCCUGUUCGAGCGUCAUUUCAACCCUUAAGCCCCUGUUGCUUAGCGUUGGGAGCCUACAGCCUGCUGUAGUUCCUCAAAGUUAGUGGCGGAGUCAGUUCACACUCUAGACGUAGUAAAAUCUUUAUCUCGCCUAUAGAUGAGCUGGCGCCUUGCCGUAAAAACCCCUAAUCUUUUACAAGGUUAACCUCGGAUCAGGUAGGAAUACCCGCUGAACUUAAGCAUAUCAAUAAGCGGAGGA